UCCGUUAUGGUCUAGGUAAGCACAUUCAUACUGCUCUCUUCGUCAACAAUCACUAACAUUGAGGAAAGUGGCUAGGAUACAUCGCUCUCAUUAGCAAGCGCCGAUGUGGCCGGGGUUCGAUUCCCCGUGACGGAA
rnacentral:tRNA from 1 species